rnacentral:rRNA from 1 species
UACGUAGGGCGCAAGCGUUGUCCGGAAUUAUUGGGCGUAAAGAGCUCGUAGGCGGUUUGUCGCGUCGGCUGUGAAACCCCGAGGCUCAACCUCGGGCCUGCAGUCGAUACGGGCAGACUAGAGUUCGGUAGGGGAGACUGGAAUUCCUGGUGUAGCGGUGAAAUGCGCAGAUAUCAGGAGGAACACCGGUGGCGAAGGCGGGUCUCUGGGCCGAAACUGACGCUGAGGAGCGAAAGCGUGGGGAGCGAACAGG